UAAUCCGUCUGCAAUAGACGACGCUCGCGACUUUCUGUUCCAGACUUCCGCGAUUUCCAGAUCUUCCGUGAUUCUGCUCCGAAAUUCGUCCGGUAUUCCGCAACAAGUUCGCUCCGGUCUUCCGUGAUUUCGCUCCGCGUCCUUCUGAUCUUCGCGUUCUUCGCAACAGUGAUUUCGCAACAAGUUCGCUCCGCAACAAGUUCCGCAACACGAUCUUCUGAUCUUCGCAUUCUUCGCAUCUUCUGAUCUCCGCAAAAGUUCAACAGAUCUUGCGGUUUCAGUUCUUCCGUGAUUUCAAUGGGUCUCCGUGGUUCAAAUUUGUGAUUUUUUUUCCUCCUCUCUCUCUCGGGAAAAAAAAAAAAAAUUCAACAAGUCUAUCUUCGAUGACAACUCCGGCAACAUUCACUUCCGCUGCCAACGGAUCGGCUAGAUCUUUUAAAGUCAUCACAAAGCCGAUCAAGUGUGCACUCCUCGACAAAACCAAUUAUUUUUCAUGGGAGGCGCAAUUCACCGCUAUGCUACGCGGUUUCGAGUUAAUAGGUUAUGUACAAGGGGAGGUAAAUCUCGAUACACCAGAAACAAUUCAACAAGAUCAGUUAAUCUUGAGUUGGAUUCUGACCGGGAUUUCAACAACAAUUGUACCACAAGUUGCCGCAUACAAGACUUCUGCCG
rnacentral:lncRNA from 1 species